GAUGAACGCUGGCGGCGUGCCUAAUACAUGCAAGUCGAGCGAACAGACGAGGAGCUUGCUCCUCUGACGUUAGCGGCGGACGGGUGAGUAACACGUGGAUAACCUACCUAUAAGACUGGGAUAACUUCGGGAAACCGGAGCUAAUACCGUAUAAUAUAUUGAACCGCAUGGUUCAAUAGUGAAAGACGGUUUUGCUGUCACUUCUAGAUGGAUCCGCGCCGCAUUAGCUAGUUGGUAAGGUAACGGCUUACCAAGGCAACGAUGCGUAGCCGACCUGAGAGGGUGAUAGGCCACACUGGAACUGAGACACGGUCCAGACUCCUACGGGAGGCAGCAGUAGGGAAUCUUCCGCAAUGGGCGAAAGCUUGACGGAGCAACGCCGCGUGAGUGAUGAAGGUCUUCGGAUCGUAAAACUCUGUUAUUAGGGAAGAACAAAUGUGUAAGUAACUAUGCACGUCUUGACGGUACCUAAUCAGAAAGCCACGGCUAACUACGUG
rnacentral:rRNA from 1 species